rnacentral:rRNA from 1 species
UACGAAGGGUGCAAGCGUUACUCGGAAUUACUGGGCGUAAAGCGUGCGUAGGUGGUUCUUUAAGUCAGGUGUGAAAUCCCUGGGCUCAACCUAGGAACUGCAUUUGAUACUGAGGAGCUAGAGUGUGGUAGAGGAUAGUGGAAUUCCCGGUGUAGCGGUGAAAUGCGUAGAUAUCAAGAGGAACACCAGUGGCGAAGGCGGGUCCCUGGACAACACCUGACACUGAGGCACGAAAGCUAGGGGAGCAAACAGG